GGGAGAGGAGCCCAGCCCUGGAAGUCCACAGUGUUCCAUUCGGUGAUCAGCACAGAACACAGAGGACUCACCAUGGAGUCUGGGCUGAGCUGGGUUUUCCUUGUUGCUAUUUUAAGAGGUGUCCAGUGUGAGGUGCAGCUGGUGGAGUCUGGAGGAGGCUUGGUCCAGCCUGGGGGGUCCCUGAGACUCUCCUGUGCAGCCUCUGGAUUCACCUUCAGUAGCUAUGGCAUGAGCUGGGUCCGCCAGGCUCCAGGGAAGGGGCUGGAGUGGGUCUCAUACUAUUAAUAGUGGUGGUGGUAGCACAUACUACGCAGACUCCGUGAAGGGCCGAUUCACCAUCUCCAGAGACAACUCAAAGAACACGCUCUCCCUGCAAAUGAACAGCCUGAGAGCUGAGGACACGGCCGUGUAUUACUGUGCGAAAGACACAGUGAGGGGAAGUCAGUGUGAGCCCAGACACAAACCUCCCUGCAGGAGCGCUGGGGAAAUCAGUGGCAGGGGGCGCUCAGGACCCACUGAUCAGAGUCAACCCAGAGGCAGGCCUCAAGCCCUUUCGUGGCGCUCAGGUGGGUCUCAGGCUGUGGCUGCCGCAGUCACGCGGGAGAGGCUGGUGGGACUUUCUUCACUCCUCCUCACUCAGGACCCUCCACUGUGUUGCAUGGAGACUCAUCUGGAAAUGCAAGUUGCCAGUGGGGACUGA